CAGCCGCGUAAUUCCAGCUCCAAUAGCGUAUAUUAAAGUUGUUGCAGUUAAAAAGCUCGUAGUUGAAUUUCGGGAUCAAAUUGUCGGUCGUGCCUCGGUACGCACUGGUAUUAUUGGUUCCUACCUUCUGAAGAACCGCGAUGUCAUUAAUUUGGUGUCGUGGGGAAUCAGGACUGUUACUUUGAAAAAAUUAGAGUGUUUAAAGCAGGCUUACGCUUGAAUACAUUAGCAUGGAAUAAUGAAAUAGGACGUUUGAUUCUAUUUUGUUGGUUUCUAGGAUCGACGUAAUGAUUAAUAGGGAUAGUUGGGGGCAUUAGUAUUCAAUUGUCAGAGGUGAAAUUCUUGGAUUUAUUGAAGACUAACUACUGCGAAAGCAUUUGCCAAGGAUGUUUUCAUUAAUCAAGAACGAAAGUUAGGGGAUCGAAGACGAUCAGAUACCGUCGUAGUCUUAACCAUAAACUAUGCCGACUAGGGAUCGGAUGAUGUUAAUUUUUUAAUGACUCAUUCGGCGCCUUACG
rnacentral:misc_RNA from 1 species